CCAUAGGUUGAGGAGGCUGAGGUAGCCAACACUGUUUUUAUUUAUAUAUAUAUAUAUAUAUAUAUAUAUAUAUAUAUUUAUUUAUUUAUUUUUUUAAUUGGGGGUAGCCCCCAAAAUAUUGGGGCAUAUAAAAAAAGACAACUCUGUUGACAUUAUAGUUGCGCAGGAACUUGGUUGACUCUAGAGAACCUUGGGCAAAUCGCACAUCCUCGUGGCGGUGACUUUGCAUGUGGAUGUCAUCAAUAUCAACUUUCGAUGCCAAGUUCUGCUCCUACCAUGGUUACCACGGGUAACGGGGAAUCAGGUUUCUAUUCCGUACAAGGACCCUGAGAAACGGCUACCACAUGCAAGGAAGGCAGCAGGCGCGCAAAUGACCUACUCCCGACGCGGGAAGUUAGUGAAGACAAAUAACAAUACAGGACUCUUUAGAGGCCAUGUAAUUGUAAUGAGUCCACUUGAAAUCCUUUAACUCUGAUCAAUUGGAGGAAAGUCUGGUGCAGAGCCACUGACCCAUG